rnacentral:lncRNA from 1 species
UUGGAGUCAUGUACAACAAUAAGAAGCUAGCAUGCGUGCAUAUGGGCACGGAGUCCAAAUCGGCUUCAUUGGAUUGAUCGGCGAGGAGAGGCAAGGAUGAUAUAAAGGAAAGGCCAGCACGUAUGGAUAAAAAUGAUUAGAAUAUACAACAUGGAUUCUGGUGCACUUUACAUGCCAUGCGUGGGAGGCUUCCAGAAUAAUUAUGCAUGCGGCCGAUCUGUGCAUGUACGGGAGGUUGUUUCAUAGAAUAAAAUAUUUUAGAGAUAGAGUUGGGUUAGUUAGAGAUAGAGUUUUUUAUUAGAAAAGAUUGUGUACGUGACUUGCCUUGUGCGUGGUUAGAUGCCAAUUAUGUAACGUCCGCCCUAUAAAUAUAAAGGGACGUGGCCAUUGUAAAGAAUAAUCACACGAUCAAUAAUACAACAUAUUUACCUUUGUAAAGCUUGCUGGUUACUGCACCAAGUUUUGGUGUCAACAGAAACUC